UGCCUCUCUUUCACUUACACCCUAUGGAUUUAAUCCCUUCAGGUAGGUCAACUAAUGUCCAUACAUCGUUGACCUUCAUAGACUCUAUUUUAGAUUUUAUGGCUUCAAGCUAUUUAUCAGAGUCGAACCUCUGUAUAGCAUCCAUAUAGGUGAGUAGGUCCUUAUUAUUCUCAUCGAGUUCAACAGGAUCUCCGUCUCGAACCAAGAAACUGUAGUA
rnacentral:lncRNA from 1 species